CACUGCUUAGGAACGGUGCAUGGAAAGCAUAUAAGGUGCGAAGAGCCGGAUUGCGCGGGUUCCGAGCUUUAUAAUUAUAAACGAUAUCACUCCUUGAUUUUAAUAGCGGUUGCUGAUGCAAAUUAUUAUUUCAUCAGCGUUGACAUAGGUGCUUAGGGCAGCAGUAGUACUACAAUUUUUUUAAAUUCUACAUUUUUUUUUAUUGCCUUUGUACACAAGUUUGGCACAAGUUCGUCAAUUCAACAUGCCACCAUUGAAAAACUGCGUGGUGCAGAAAACUACUCCACGUGGAAGUUCUCCAUGCGGAUGUUAUUAAUCCAUGAAGAGUUAUGUGAUUCCGUCACGGAUAAAUGGGAAUUGACGGAAGCCAUGAAGAAAAGAGCGAAAAGUCAUUGGCACGUAUUGCGUUGUCGGUGCAGCCAGCGGUCAUCCCAUGCAUCCGCACCGCCACCAGCGCACACGAGGCGUGUAAUAACCUAAGUAAGGCGUUCGGAGGGCGCGGCUUGUAUAGGAGACUUGGCAUACUGAGAAGUCUCUUCGGUGUCAAGUUAUCGUAUAGCAGUUCAGUUAUCGGAUAGCAGUUCCAUGGAAGCCUACAUCAAUAAAAUUAAAGAGUUGGCGUGUCAACUGAGUGAAAUGGAAUCCGCAUUGGAUGAUGAGUUUAUUGCCGUUAUAAUGCUAAGUGGGCUCACAGAAGAUUUUGACCCCCUCAUCAUGGCAAUUGAGAACUCAAAUGUAAAACUCACCACGGAACUUGUCUCAGGAAAACUCUUGGCAGAAAACCAGAGGCGUGAGGAGAAACAAGAUAUCACUGCGUUGGUAACCAAGAAGCCACCGAGAUGCUUCAAGUGCAAAAAUGUGGGUCAUAUUUCUAAGAAUUGUUCCAACAAAGGAAGCUUCAAGGAGUCAGCGGACGUAGGAGGCAACAAAGGCAAAAAUAAAUCCAGAUAUCAGACUAGGAACAAUCCGAAGCAGAAUAUCCCAAAGGACAAAGCGCUCUUUGCAGCUCUGUCUGUAAAAAUAAGUAGUGAUGUGUGGUACAUUGACUCCGGUGCUACUAAUCAUAUGUGCAAUGAUAAAAAGUACAUGAUGGACUUCCGACCUAAUAGUGUGGAUGUGAGCAUCGUGAAUGGUGAAAAGCUACGAACAGGUGGCAUUGGACAUGUAAAAGUAUUUGAACUUUUACAUGUCCAAUGCCACCUGUUUGAAAGACUGUAUAAGAACAAUAAGUGAUGUGUAUUAUGUUUCUAAUCUUAGUACGAACUUAUUGUCAGUAAGUGCCAUAACAAAGAAAGGGUAUACUGUUGAAUUUAAUAAUAAAUUAUGUAGGGUCUAUGACAAACAUGAAUGUCUAGUAACAGGUACACAGACAAGUGGUGUCUAUCAGCUGGAUACUGUGUCAGACAACGGCUGUGUCGUCGCUUCGGCUGUGAUGGCUUCGGCAAAGAUUCACACUGCUAAUGCGGCAACGAUGUUAUCUCAGGAGGUAUGGCCCAGAAGACUCGGGCACCUAAACUCGAGGAGUAUGCAAUUGCUACAAAAAGGAAUUUCUCAAGAAGAAUGGCAUCCAACACCAGAAAACUAUUGCGGAUAGUCCGCAACAGAAUGGUGUUGCUGAACGGGCCAAUAGGUCCGUCAUAGAGAAGGCAUGGAGUAUGCUGCGGGAUCCUAGGCUGGGAAUGAAAUUUUGGGCUGAGGCUGUGAACACUGCCGUAUACCUUAAGAACCGAAGUCCAACCAAAGCUGUGAUAGGAGCUACUCCGGAGGAAAAAUGGUCCAACAAAGGUAAAUCUGCACCAUUUAUGAAUCUUUGGAUGCAAUGCCUAUGCAAUGAUAAAGAAUAGGAAGAAAUUAGAAUCAAAAAGUAAACCAUACAUAUUUGUGGGCAACAGUUAGGAGUCAAAAGGCUAUAGACUCAUAGACCCACAUGAUCCCACGUUGUGUUUUUGCCCGUAACAUAGUUUUUGUUGAAACAAAAUUCUAUGAACAAAAAAGUGUGUCACAUGAUGAAAAUUCAGACCAACACAUGUUUGUUGACAUGAGUUUAAAUACAGAUGGUCCUCAUGAGUUGGAGCUACCCACUGUGAGUUCUGAUGUUUCUGAUGACACAAUAUUAUCACAGAGCGGACACAGAAAACAGAGGCAUAGCGCAACCACAUUGGACGGUUCUGAUAGCGGAGAAACGGAUUAUGAUGCAAAUGACUGCUUGGAUGAAACUUAUGUUCCAGGGGACGAU